CCUUCUGCCCAUUUCAGGGCGGGAACUCUCAAAUCCCCCCUUCAGAUGGCAUCCCAAACCUUAGAUUCUCCAAUCAUAGAGACUACCUUCUUGUCUCAUCUUGGGACAAGAGCAUCCGAAUAUGCAAUGCGAGUGCAAAUGUGCUGAGAGGCAAGUUCUUGCACAGCGGCCUAGUCCCCGAUUGCUGCUUCCAUGACGAUGCCUCUGGAUUCAGUGCAAGUGCAGAUCACACUCGCAGCUAGUUAAAGCUGAAAAGAUUGUCCCCUUCAAGACCAUUUCAUUUCUUUCCAAGACCUGAAAUAUGAGCUUAAAGAUGAGCAUCAAGUUAGAUUUUCAUGAAGAACAUUACAUUGACCAUCUAUCCUAAGUCUUUUUCUACUUUGAUUACAUGCAGACAUUAUUUUUAUAUAUUAUAAUGAAAUAUUUGAAUACAAUUUGAUACAAAUUUUAUAAUUUAUUUUUAUUCCAUCUUAGUUGCUCCUUAUGAUGUGUGCUAAAAUUGCAUUUUUUCAUUUUCUUUGACAGUCUUUUUUAUUAUUCUGGGUUCUCGAUGAUACAUCCUUGUAGAAUUUGUUGAAGUCGCUGAGUGGCUCCUCAAAUUCAGAGCAACAUCUUGUGAUGGUUUGAGUGAUCCCAGUGAUGUUUUUCAUUAUCUUCUUCUCAUAUGGUGGACUAACACACAGAAUGCUAUGAAAUAGGGGAUACUGGAGAUGCUGAAGUAUUGGAUAGGACCCGUUUCAGGGUUACUCUGCAACCCCAAACAAUGGCUUUUGAUAACUUGAUAGGAUAGUAUUCAUUAGCUGAUUCUCUCUCUUUUAUAUUUUUUAGCUGACAUGGUUAUUUUUUCUUUUAUGUUCUUGUGGCUUAAAUCGAUGAUGCAGGAGAUGAAAUGACUGAUGUUUAUUUCAGAGUUACUCUGCAAACCCGAACAAUGGCUUUUGAUAACUUGAUAGGAUUGUAUUCAUUAGCUGAUUCUCUCUCUUUUAUGUUUUUUAGUUGACAUGAUUUUUUUUCUUUUAUAUUCUUAUGGCUUAAAUCGAUGAUGCAGGAGAUGAAAUGACUGAUGUUUAUUUCAGGGUUACUCCGCAACCUCGAACAAUGGCUUUUGAUUACUUGAUAGGAUUGUAUUCAUUAGCUGAUUCUCUCUCUUUUAUAAUUUUUAGUUGGCAUGGUUAUUUUUUCUUUUAUAUUCUUAUGGCUUAAAUCGAUGAUGCAGGAGAUGAAAUGACUGAUGUUUUUUGGGAAAUCAAUCAAGGAUAAGGUUGGUGCACUAAUGCUUGCUGAUAAUGGCAUAUGUUACUAACUACUUAUUGUAACUGAAAAUGAAUGUACAAUCUAUUGCAUCCUGUUUUCGUUGGGGUUAGUAUGUACAGAAACACGUCCCUGAGUUUGUAAGUUUAAGAGUGUAAUAGUAGUAUGAUAUGGAGUCCCAUCUGGAAACACAGUUUCUCAACAUGCAAUCCCGAAUUAGCAUUUCCAUGAAACACCAUAUGCUCCAAUCUCCUUGGGUCCGUUAUGUGUUUCAGUAAAUGGUUGAGCUUUUUGGAAUAUGCACAGAGAAAAAAGAAAAGAAAAGAAAAAACUAAAAACCCCAAUCCAAUCAAUUUCAUGUUGAUACCUAUUGUUAGUUUAUUGAAUUUGAACUCAUGUGGAUGUGUAGGUAUAUUGGCUUCAAUUUGGAAGAUAUUUUGCCCGAUGACCUGUUGGAAGGGAUGAAUAUGCGUUGGAAUGGCCAUGGGUGAUGAAUAAUGCAUGAAGUGAGGAUUCUUCUUCAACUGCGGGGCAAUCCACUUUGGUUGAGCAGGAUUUGGAGCUCUUCAAUUGAAGCAUAUGGAUUUCAUUUUACCAAUCUUUGUCCAAGGGACAAAAACUGGGGAUCAUGAAAGUUGAAUCCUCAAUGUUGUAUUCUGCUGGCAACCUGUUUCAAAAUCUCAAAGCUCAGUUGUUUUACAGAUUUCAAUCUGCUCAAAAUAUUCAUUACAGGGUCAGCCCAAGCAACAUCUUCUUACAACUGGAUGGAGUGUGUAAGUGCAAAGAGGCUUGUUGCCGGUGAUUUGGUCCUUUUCAUCUGGACUGAACCAAGUUAUUAGUGGUCUUCCACUAAAGGAAUGGCCUUUAACCGCAUUGAUCAGUUGUGCUCAAAUUUAAGCCCACAAGCACAGAAGCCUUUUCUACAUACAUCAAUCUAGUUUCAGCUUUUGACGCCACUCGCAUUAGGGGCUGGAUGAAGGGAUUUU